UACAGAAGCCCCGAGCAUUACCCGGAUUCACUGGGCGUAAAGGGUGCGUAGGCGGAUAUGUUAGUCAGGUGUUAAAUCCUGGGGCUCAACCUCAGGCUCGCAUUUGAAACGGCAUAUCUAGAAGGAGUCAGAGGUAAACAGAACUCUCGGUGUAGGGGUGAAAUCCGUUGAUAUCGAGGGGAAUACCAAAUGCGAAGGCAGUUUACUGGGACUUUCUUGACGCUGAGGCACGAAAGCGUGGGUAGCGAACGGG
rnacentral:misc_RNA from 1 species